CUAAGUGUAGAAGUCGAGAUGC
rnacentral:siRNA from 1 species